GUGCGUGGGCGCGAGUCGGCCUCCCGCGGUGCCGCCGCAGCGUGGCGCGGAGAGGCAGGGGCAUCCAGUGGUUCAAGGUUACAAUAAGCUGUGAUCGUGCCACUGCAUUCUACCUGGGAUGACAGAGUGGGACCCUGUGCCACAGAGUGAGACCCUGUCUCAAAAAAAAAAAAACUAUGUAAAUCCAAGGAAAAAAGAAAACAGCUCCUGUUGCCUUUUGCCUCUCAUCCAGAAAGGUAUCCAUUUGCCUUUCUAAUAUCUCUUCAUCCUGUCAGGCCACAAAUGGUUGUAUUGUACCUCUCCAAGUUCUGGAAAGUCGAUGGAGGGUUUACUCAGGACUUCAAUCUAUCCAGAACUGAGUUUUGUUUAUGGUGUGUGCCAGGAGACAAUGGUUACUUCUUUUCAUGGAUUCUAAAUUCUAUCUGCCAGUCACUUUUUGUGUGUGCAUUCAUUGAGGGUGUACAGAAUGGAAUUACAGAGGCAGAAAAAAAUGAGGUCUCUGCCAAAUUGAUAGUUUAAAAAACAUUUUAGUGGCCUACUUAACUGUAAUUUGUUUUAGUUUUAAACAAGAAAAACCUCAGCAUGUAAGCAAAGCAGACUGGACUUGAACAGAUAUGGAAUGCAAAGCACACAGGAGAGUCAUGGGGAUCCUGAAGGGGGAUUAGAAGUUGGACAACUUUUUAUGCAAUGAACAACACUGCAUUGGAGGCAGUGGAUUAAACAGUAGUGCAUAUCACUUGGCUGAAGUGACAGGAAUAAAGAACAGAAUGCAUCCACUCCUCCAGUCUCAUUAAGCUGCCUCUUUCUCCUGAAAUUGGAUUGGGAUUCCAGGACACCUCUCAACCUACAGGAAACACUGGAUCUAAAGCUGAAACAGGU
rnacentral:lncRNA from 10 species